UACGGAAGGCAGCAGUGGGGAAUAUUGCACAAUGGGCGCAAGCCUGAUGCAGCCAUGCCGCGUGUAUGAAGAAGGCCUUCGGGUUGUAAAGUACUUUCAGUCGUGAGGAAGGUGUUAAGGUUAAUAACCUUAGCAAUUGACGUUAGCGACAGAAGAAGCACCGGCUAACUCCGUGCCAGCAGCCGCGGUAAUACGGAGGGUGCGAGCGUUAAUCGGAAUUACUGGGCGUAAAGGGCACGCAGGCGGUUAAUUAAGUUGGAUGUGAAAUCCCCGGGCUUAACCUGGGAAUGGCAUUCAAGACUGGUUAGCUAGAGUCUUGUAGAGGGGGUAGAAUUCCAUGUGUAGCGGUGAAAUGCGUAGAGAUGUGGAGGAAUACCGGUGGCGAAGGCGGCCCCUGGGACAAAGACUGACGCUCAUGUGCGAAAGCGUGGGGAGCGAAACAGGAUUUAGAUACC
rnacentral:rRNA from 1 species